rnacentral:lncRNA from 1 species
CUCACUUUACAUGCUCUCGCGGUAGGAUCUGACAUAUAAAAGACAAUUGUACCGUUCUCGACUCCUAGGGCCUUGAAAGGACCUCUAGUUAAAUUACAUUCAUAGAUUCAUGUCCAUGGAAGACCUCUGAUUAAACUGCCUCAAAACAGUCAUCAUCAUUAUCUAACCCAUGACUUCUGUCUUCAAGGCAUAAAAGAUGCAAACGAUCAAUGGAAAAUAAUAAUGUCGUCAUGCUGGAAAUUGACGGAUUUCAUGCAUCGAUCAAACGCGAGAUGCAGAUCAAGUCGUAAAAACAAAAUAGUUCGGCCUCGUCGAUCGCGAACAUAAUGUAUCCCGCCUCAUCGGUCAGGAAGUGUAUAUGAGUUCCGGCCUCGUCAGUCGCGGAAACAAGUUUGCUGAGCAUGGACUUGAAGAUGAACCCAUCGUUUGACUUGAGUUGCAAAAUUCCAAACAUGGCGUCUUAUUUAUUCAGGUGUAGAUGGCCAUGUCUUUAUUAUUCACAGGAUAAAAGUCCUCAUCCUUUGCAUGCUGCAUGAUCUGCUUGAAAUUAUUAAUGACUCCUAAUGCUUUGCAUGGGAUGACUCGCGAUGUUGAUUUUGAGUAUGUAUGUAGCCGUGUCAUUUCUCUCUAAAGCCGGACUUUGUCUACCACCUCGAAUGAAAUAUUGCAAAAAGCACCGCUGAAAACUUUGAUGAAUCCGCAGCGACGAUUAGAUCGUCGUGUAGAGACGCAAAAAAAGUCAUCUUAAAUCCCUUUUUAUUUGUCGGAUUUAACAAUAAAAACAUCCGCGGUGACGAUUUGAUCGCCAUGUAGAACCACAAGAUGCCAACUCUUCUCUUUCUUUGUUUUGUUCGGACCACGGAACACCGACGGCGAUGAUUAGAUCACUAUGUAGAGCCACCAGGUGUUGGUAAACACUUUUUGUAGAUCGGCCCGUAAAACGUCCGCGGCGACGAUUAGAUCGCCAUGUAGAGCCGCGAGACGACCCUCUUUCAGUUUGUAGCUCAAGCCAUGAAGCGCCGACGGCGACGAUUAGAUCAUCAUGUAGAGCUGCGAAACGCCAGGAAAGAAAUAGGAAGAACAAAUAAAGUAAAGUAAACAAAAAUAAAAUCAUAUGCAACCUUCACAUGAUUUACUCACCAUAUGGCUGCGCCAUGAACGCCGUCCGCGAGGGGAAGACGCCGGACGAGAGUCGAAGAUGUGCGUGUAUGUGAAUACUGGAAUGGAGAUGAUAUGGAGUGUGUGCGUGUGUGAUAUGGUGAAUGGCAGUGAGAUGAGCGUGUAAACGUGGUGUGUGCGGUGAGUAAGCUGAACCUUCUCUCAGCCACUAGAG